UACGGAGGGAGCUAGCGUUGUUCGGAAUUACUGGGCGUAAAGCGCACGUAGGCGGCUCUGUAAGUUAGAGGUGAAAGCCCGGGGCUCAACUCCGGAACUGCCUUUAAGACUGCAUCGCUUGAAUCCAGGAGAGGUGAGUGGAAUUCCGAGUGUAGAGGUGAAAUUCGUAGAUAUUCGGAAGGACACCAGUGGCGAAGGCGGCUCACUGGACUGGUAUUGACGCUGAGGUGCGAAAGCGUGGGGAGCAAACAGG
rnacentral:rRNA from 1 species